AGCGGCGGACGGGUGAGUAACGCGUGGGUAACCUGCCUUAUACAGGGGAUAACAGUUUUUAGAAAUGACUGCUAAUACCGCAUAAGCGCACAGUACCGCAUGGUAGUGUGUGAAAAACUCCGGUGGUAUAAGAUGGACCCGCGUCUGAUUAGCCAGUUGGCGGGGUAACGGCCCACCAAAGCGACGAUCAGUAGCCGACCUGAGAGGGUGACCGGCCACAUUGGGACUGAGACACGGCCCAAACUCCUACGGGAGGCAGCAG
rnacentral:rRNA from 1 species